rnacentral:rRNA from 1 species
UACGUAGGUGGCAAGCGUUGUCCGGAAUUAUUGUGCGUAAAGCGCGCGCAGGCGGUCCUUUAAGUCUGAUGUGAAAGCCCACGGCUCAACCGUGGAGGGUCAUUGGAAACUGGGGGACUUGAGUACAGAAGAGAAGAGUGGAAUUCCACGUGUAGCGGUGAAAUGCGUAGAGAUGUGGAGGAACACCAGUGGCGAAGGCGACUCUUUGGUCUGUAACUGACGCUGAGGCGCGAAAGCGUGGGGAGCAAACAGG